rnacentral:tRNA from 1 species
CAAUUAAGAGCUUGUAAAAGCAUUUUAUUUACAUUAAAAAGAAAAUUUUUAAAAUUUUAAUUGA